rnacentral:rRNA from 1 species
UACGUAGGCAGCGAGCGUUGUUCGGAAUUAUUGGGCGUAAAGGGUGCGUAGGCGGUUUGGUAAGUCUGAUGUGAAAUCUAUGGGCUCAACUCAUAGUCUGCAUCGGAAACUGCCGGGCUUGAGUGUGGGAGAGGUGAGUGGAAUUCCUGGUGUAGCGGUGAAAUGCGUAGAUAUCAGGAGGAACACCUGUGGCGAAAGCGGCUCACUGGACCAUAACUGACGCUGAUGCACGAAAGCUAGGGGAGCAAACAGG